rnacentral:rRNA from 1 species
UGUAUCCUAGAUCAGGCGGGACUACUCGUUGAGUUUAAGCAUAUAAAUAAGCGGAGGAAAAAAAACUAACUAGGAUUCCCUUAGUAACGGCGAACAAAUCAAAAAAAGCCCAAGCUUAGAAUCGGCAACCCCACCGUCUGAAUUGUAGCCUGGAGAAGCAUUCUCAAUGGCCGAUCAAGUAUAAGUCCCCUAGAAUAGGGCAUCAGAGAGGGUGAUAGUUUCAUCGUGCUCGAACCCUGUCAUACUAUGUGACGUGUUCGGCGAGUCAGGUUGUUUGGGAAUACAACCCUAAUCGCCAGUAAAUUCCGUCCAAGGCUAAAUACGAAGAAGAGACCGAUAGCAAAAAGUACCGCGAGGGAAAGAUGAAAAGGACUUUGAAAAAAGAGUCAAAGAGUGCUUGAAAUUGUAGGGACAAAAGCAAAUAGGGGCCGGUGAUGCGCCCCGUUCGGAUGUGGAACGUUGUCUAAAUAGUCCGCCGAUCUGCUCAAGGCAUGGGCCAGUGAGGAUUGAGGCAACAGCCAAAGCUGGGGCUGUAGAUAUGCUCACGGAAAUACUGUUGCCUCAAUCGUGGAGAGGCAACACACGCCAUUGGCGUUCGUCGGCAUCUGUGCACUCCCUGUGUUAACUUGCAAGCUGCCUAUUCGACCUGUCUUGAAACACGAACCAAGAACUCUGACACAUGUGCGAGUUAACGAGUGAGUAAGCUCGUAAGGCGCAAGGAACUACUUGGCGGGAUUCCCUCGACGAGUGCAUCGUCGAUUGAACUUGAUUUUUUUAGAAGAGUUCGAGUGUGAGCAUAUCUGUCGAGACCCAAAAGAUGGUGAACUAUGCCUGAGCAGGGCGAAGCCAAACGAAACUCUGGUGGAGGCCCGUACCAUUACUAAUGUGCAGAUCGUUUGUCAGACUUGGGUAUAGGGUCGAAAGACCAAUCAAACCGUCUAGUAGUUGGUUCCCUCCGAAGUAUCCCUCAAGAUAACUGGAGCUCGCGUGCAAGUUCUAUCGGGUAAAGCUAAUGAUUAGGGCAUCGUAGGUGCAAUGCCCUCAACAUAUUCUCAAACUUUAAAUAGAUAGGACGGGGCAACUGCUUUGUUGAGUCGUCCCAUAUAAUCAAGAGCUCCAAGUGGGCCUUUUUUGGUAAGCAAAACUGGCGAUAUAGAAUGAACCAGAAACCGGGUUACGGUGCCCAAUAGCACGCUAACUUAAAUACCACAAAGGGUGUUGUCGACUAAGACAACAAGACGGUGGUCAUAGAAGUCGAAAUCUGCUAAGGAAUGUGUAACAACUCGCAUGUCGAAUCAACUAGGCCCGAAAAUAGAUGGCGCUCAAGAACACGACCCAUAACCAGCUAUCGGGCAAGUGCCUGGCCCUGAUGAGUAGAAGGGCGUGGUGGUUGCUGCAAAACCUAGGGCAUGAUCCCAGGCGGAGCAGCCGUCAGUGCAGAUCUUUGUGGUAAUAGCAAAUAUUCAAAUGGGAACUUUGAAGGCCGAAGAGGCGAAAGGUUCCAUGUGAACGGCACUUGCACAUGGGUUAGCCGAUCCUAAGGGUCGGGAGAAGCUCAACAGAUAGCGCGUUCCAUGAGUGCUCCGAAAGAUAAUUGGGUUAAAAUUCCUAAACCAGAAUGUGGUGCCGAUGGCAACGUUAGGGAGUCCAUAGACGUCGAUAGGGGCCUUGGGAAGAGUUAUCUUUUCUAUUUAAUAACCUUUCCACCCUAGAAAUGGCUCAGCUGGAGGUAGGGUCCAGCAGCUGGAAGGCACUGCCCAUCGCAUGGUGUUCGGUGCGCCCCCAGCAGCCCUUGAAAAUCUGGAGGAUCGAGUGUCGUUCACGCUUGGUCGUAUUCAUAACCGCAUAAGGUCUCCAAGGUGAACAACCUCUGGUCGAUGGAACAAUGUAGGCAAAGGAAGUGAGCAAAAUAGAUCUGUAACCUCGGGAAAAGGAUUGGCUCUGAGGGCUGGGCACGGGGUCCCAAUCUCGAACCCUUCGGCUAUCGGUGGAUUGCUCGAGCUGCUCCCGUAGCGAGAGCGGGUCACUGCGUGCCUGCCGGGGGACGAACUGGGAAUGGCUUCCUCAUGGGUCUUCCUCGGGUGCCGAACAGCAAACUCAGAACUGGUAUGGACAAGGAGAAUCUGAUAGUUUAAUUAAAACGAAGCAUUGCGAUAGUCCCUACGGAUGCUAAUGCCAAUAUGAUUUCUGCCUAGUGCUCUGAAUGUCAAAGUGAAGAAAUUCAACCAAGCGCGGGGAAGCUGCGGGAGUAACUAUGACUCUCCUAAGGUAGCCAAAUAACUUGUCAUCUAGUUAGUGAUCCGCAUGAAUUGAUUAACGAGAUUCCCACUGUCCCUGUCUACUAUCCAGUGAAACCACAACCAAGGGAAUAGACUUAGAAUCAACAGGGAAAGAAGACUUGUUGAGCUUGACUCUAGUCCGAUUUUGUGAAAUGACUUGAGAGAUGUAGUAUAAGUGGGAGCCCUCAGGUAAAAGUGAAAUACCACUACAUUUUAAUAUUAUUUUACUUAUUCCAUAAUCGAAGAUGGGGCCUAUGCCCCUCUUUUUGGACCGAAGGUUGCCUCGGAGGCCGAUCUAGGAGAAAGACAUUGUGAGGUGGGGAGUUUGACUGAGCCGGCACAUCAAUUAGAAGAUAACGCUAGUGUCCUAAGAUGAGCUCAACGAGAACAUAAAUCUCUUGUGGAACAGAAGGGAAAAAGCUUGUUUGAUUCUGAUUUCCAGUAUGAAUACGAACCAUGAAAGUGCGGCCCAACGAUCCUUUAGACCUUCAGAAUUUGAAGCUAGAGGUGGUAGCCAGGCAUUCAUAGCGACGUUGCUUUUUUAUCCUUCAAUGUCGGCUCUUUCUAUCAUUAUGAAGCAGAAUUUACCAAGUGUUGGAUUGUUCACCCAUCAUAGGAAACGUGAGCUGGGUUUAGAACGUCGUGACACAGGUUAGUUUUACCGUACUGAUGACAAUGUUGCAAUAGUAAUUCAACCUAGUAUGAGAGGAAUCGUUGGUUCAUACAAUUGUUCAUCCCACUUGGUUAAAAAGCCAGUGGCACGAAACUAUCGUACGUUGGAUUAUGACUGAACACCUCUAAGUCAGAAUCCAAGCUAGAAGCGAUGUGUACGCCCGUCGUCCAUUUGCCGACCCGCAGUAGGGGCCUUUAUCCCCCAAGAGCACAUGUCGUUAGCUAGGCCGGCGUGGCAGAAGAGCCGCUAAGGUCACCUUG